AGUGAUUAAACUGAAGAGUUUGAUCCUGGCUCAGAUUGAACGCUGGCGGAAUGCUUUACACAUGCAAGUCGAACGGCAGCACGGGAGCUUGCUCUUGGUGGCGAGUGGCGAACGGGUGAGUAAUGCGUCGGAACGUACCGAGUAAUGGGGGAUAACGCACCGAAAGGUGUGCUAAUACCGCAUACGCCCUCCGG
rnacentral:rRNA from 1 species